GGAUGCAGCUUGUGCAUGCGCACAGCCCACACCCUCAGAGCUGAGCUUCCCUCUUUACCAGCAGAGGCAAAGGGGAGAUGUAUUUAUCAUUUUCCUGGGCUUUCUGCAGUAGCCUAAGAACUGAUUGCUUCUGAGAUCCUUCAACUUGUUACUGCCUCCUACAGAGAGAAGACUGAGGCAGCAGCAGCCGGUUGGGCCCUGGGAGUUAUGCACCCCUCUGCUGUGUGCCUUCUCUCAAGGCCUGUCAGCUCAGUUUUGCAUGCAGACCCUCUAUUAUGGGUGAUGAUAUCAAAGUCAGAAAGCACACAGCUGGAUGUUUGGAGUUCACAGCUUGAUGUCUGGAACCUGGGUAUUUGCAGUAGUGCAGCUGAUGGCUGCUAAAAAAAAAAAAUUAAAAAAUAA